rnacentral:tRNA from 6 species
GGAGGGAUGGCUGAGCGGCUUAAGGCGGCGGUCUUGAAAACCGUUGUGGGCUGAUACCCCACCGUGGGUUCGAAUCCCACUCCCUCCGCCA